GCCAAGGUGGCGGAAUGGCUAACGCAGCCGCCUGCAGAGCGGCUUUUUGCCGGUUCAAUUCCGGUCCUUGGCU
rnacentral:tRNA from 1 species